rnacentral:rRNA from 1 species
AUUGAACGCUGGCGGCAGGCCUAACACAUGCAAGUCGAGCGAGAGGCGGACGGGUGAGUAAUGUAUGGGGACUGCCCGAUAGAGGGGGAUAACACCUGGAAACGGUAGCUAAUACAGAACACUAUAGGAUAACCCAUAUGGGAUUAGCUAGUUGGGGAGGUAAUGGCUCACCACGGCGACGAUCCCUAGCUGGUCUGAGAGGAUGAUCAGCCACACUGGGACUGAGACACGGCCCAGACUCCUACGGAGGCAGCAGUGGGGAAUAUUGCACAAUGGGCGCAAGCCUGAUGCAGCCAUGCCGCGUGUAUGAAGAAGGCCCUAGGGUUGUAAAGUACUUUCAGUCGGGAGGCGUUACCGACAGAAGAAGCACCGGCUAACUCCGUGCCAGCAGCCGCGGUAAUAC